GAUAUUGCACAAUGGGGGAAACCCUGAUGCAGCGACGCCGCGUGAGUGAAGAAGUGUUUCGGUGUGUAUAGCUCUCUCAGCAGGGAAGAAAAUGACGGUAGCUGACUAAGAAGCCCCCGCUACCUACGUGCCAGCCGGCGCGGUAAUACGUAGGGGGCAAGCGUUAUCCGGAAUUACUGGGUGUAAAGGGAGCGUAGGUGGUGUGGUAAGUCAGAUGUGAAAGCCCGGGGCUCAACCCCGGGACUGCAUUUGAAACUAUCAAACUAGAGUGCAGGAGAGGUAAGUGGAAUUCCUAGUGUAGCGGUGAAAUGCGUAGAUAUUAGGAGGAACACCAGUGGCGAAGGCGGCUUACUGGACUGUAACUGACACUGAGGCUCGAAAGCGUGGGGAGCAAACAGG
rnacentral:rRNA from 1 species